GACAGAGGGUGCAAACGUUGUUCGGAAUUACUGGGCGUAAAGCGCGUGUAGGCGGCAAGGCAAGUCGGGUGUGAAAGCCCUGGGCUCAACCCGGGAAGUGCAUUCGAUACUGCUAAGCUAGAGUCCCGGAGAGGAUGGUGGAACUCUCGGUGUAGAGGUGAAAUUCGUAGAUAUCGAGAAGAACACCGGUGGCGAAGGCGGCCAUCUGGACGGUGACUGACGCUGAGACGCGAAGGCGUGGGGAGCAAACAGG
rnacentral:rRNA from 1 species